GCAUGUUGCUGGAGAUGGACCAAACCGAGGUUCUCCAUCUUAUCGAGGCUCCAGAUGCUCUGAAGAAGAAAGUUUCCGAGGCUUUAGAUGUCCUCCAUUUAGCAUCAUCGGGACCCAAUGUUGGUGAUCAGCUCGGCUUAUUGUCCUUGAACGAAUGAAGCGAGCCCAAUUUGGCAUGUGACAUGGAGUAUGACAUGCACUUUCUGGCUUCAAAAGAACCGCUAAAGUUGUGCCAUGUUAGAAAUUUUUUGGAGAG